GAAUCUGUCACUGACCCUGCAAUACAUGCUUUUUUUCUAACGGUUAUUUCCAACUUAUUCAUAUUUGUGAUGCUAUUGGAAAUGAUCUAUGUCUUAUUUACUUGAGACAGGGUCUUGCUCUGUCACCCAGGAAAAUGCAGUGUUAUUGAGGGAAUGUAUUCUCUUCCCAGGUCCAAAAGGGAGUGUGGUUUCAAAGGCAAGGCCUUCCCAGUGCCAUACCUCCACUUACUUCUCCAUCCAGGAGCUUAGAGGUCUUUGUUUAACUUUCACGCAUGCGGGAAGAUGGACUGCCCAGGCUACCCUUCUCAAAGAUGAAAAAAAUCUGGAUGGGGUGGCAAAUAAGAAACAGGCCACCUGGACCUUCUUGAAGGGGAUCUCAUUCAGGAAGGCCAUUGGAGGGGCCAAGCAAUUCUUCAGAAGCAUGAUUUAGCUGAAGAAGAGAGAACUUGAAGUGAAUACCUUUAGAAGGUAUUCCCUAUAUCAAUGGAAUUGCAACUGAAAGGUUCUUUAAGAAAAAUGUCUGAGAAAUGUGCAAUGAAAUCUUAUGGAAAAAUCAGUUUGACACCUUGCAAGCCUGUAAGAUUUGAUUGCACGUUCCUCAGUGACAUGACCGGCCACAUGACAACAGUACGUGUCACUAUGCCAGUUUUACCUUGUUUCUCUCUCCUCUCUAAGAAAAAUUCAGAGAUUAGAAACCAUGCCUAACUAGCGGAUGAGAAGAAUAAAUUUAAGGAAGAGAAAAACA
rnacentral:lncRNA from 13 species